rnacentral:rRNA from 1 species
GACGAACGCUGGCGGCGUGCCUAAUACAUGCAAGUUGAGCGCUGAAGGUUGGUACUUGUACCAACUGGAUGAGCAGCGAACGGGUGAGUAACGCGUGGGGAAUCUGCCUUUGAGCGGGGGACAACAUUUGGAAACGAAUGCUAAUACCGCAUAAAAACUUUAAACACAAGUUUUAAGUUUGAAAGAUGCAAUUGCAUCACUCAAAGAUGAUCCCGCGUUGUAUUAGCUAGUUGGUGAGGUAAAGGCUCACCAAGGCGAUGAUACAUAGCCGACCUGAGAGGGUGAUCGGCCACAUUGGGACUGAGACACGGCCCAAACUCCUACGGGAGGCAGCAGUAGGGAAUCUUCGGCAAUGGACGAAAGUCUGACCGAGCAACGCCGCGUGAGUGAAGAAGGUUUUCGGAUCGUAAAGCUCUGUUGGUAGAGAAGAACGUUGGUGAGAGUGGAAAGCUCAUCAAGUGACGGUAACUACCCAGAAAGGGACGGCUAACUACGU